rnacentral:rRNA from 1 species
GACGAACGCUGGCGGCGUGCUUAACACAUGCAAGUCGAGCGGUAAGGCCCUUUCGGGGGUACGACGAGCGGCGAACGGGUGAGUAACACGUGGGUGACCUGCCCUCAGCUCUGGGAUAAGCCUGGGAAACCGGGUCUAAUACCGGAUAUGACUCCAUGACGCAUGUUGUGGGGUGGAAAGCCUUGUGCGGCUGAGGAUGGGCCCGCGGCCUAUCAGCUUGUUGGUGGGGUGAGGCCUACCAAGGCGACGACGGGUAGCCGGCCUGAGAGGGCGACCGGCCACACUGGGACUGAGACACGGCCCAGACUCCUACGGGAGGCAGCAGU